UACGUAGGGGGCAAGCGUUGUCCGGAUUCAUUGGGCGUAAAGAGCUCGUAGGCGGCUUGGCAAGUCGGGUGUGAAAACUUCAGGCUCAACCUGGAGCGGCCACUCGAUACUGCCAUGGCUUGAGUCCGGUAGGGGACCACGGAAUUCCCGGUGUAGCGGUGGAAUGCGUAGAGAUCGGGAAGAACAUCAGUGGCGAAGGCGGUCUGCUGGGCCGUUGCUGACGCUGAGGCGCGACAGCGUGGGGAGCAAACAGG
rnacentral:rRNA from 1 species